rnacentral:tRNA from 1 species
UCGGCGUUCGUCUAACCGGCAGGACACAAGACUUUGAAUCUUGGGGACCUGGUUCGAAUCCAGGGCGCCGAGCCA